CUUGUUCUCAUCCGCUAUGGCGUCGCCCAGAUCAUCGAGCAGCCCCUCCCGGCCAAUGCCACCGCCUUCCAGCGCGAGCUCGACGCCCAUCUUGUGCUCUGGAUUUACUCCACCCUCGCCGAUAACCUCGUCGACCACGUCGUCGGCGCUACCACCACCUACGAUCUCUGGCACCGCAUCCGCGAUUACUUCCUGGUAAACCAUGCGGCGCGCUAUAUGAUGCUGAACCGCCAAUACCGCAACCUCAAACAGGGGGAUCUCUCCGUCGCCGAGUACGCUCGUCGCAUGAAGCUCCUCACCGCCGGGCUGGCCGACAUCGAGCACGCCGUCACUGAAGUGGAUCUCACCACUCAGUUUCUUCACGGCAUCGACAAACGCCUCAACACCAUUCGCGUCGUGCUCGGCGACACGGUUCCUCUCCCACCGUUCGAGACGGUCUUCUCUCGC
rnacentral:rRNA from 1 species